GUUAAGUGACUAAGCGUAUACGGUGGAUGCCUAGGCAGUUAGAGGCGAUGAAGGACGUGUAAGUCUGCGAAAAGCUGUGGUGAGUUGACAAAACGCAUUUAGCCACAGAUGUCCGAAUGGGGAAACCCAGUGCAUUUAUGCACUAUCUGCAACUGAAUACAUAGGUUGUAGAGGCAAACGAGGGGAACUGAAACAUCUAAGUACCCUUAGGAAAAGAAAUCAACCGAGAUUUCCCUAGUAGCGGCGAGCGAACGGGAAUUAGCCCUUAAGCUAAUUGUAAGCCAGUGGAAUGUGUUGGAAAGCACAACGGUACAAGGUGAUAGUCCUGUACACAAAGGCGAACUUUAAGUGAAAUCGAGUAGGUCGGGACACGUGUUAUCUUGACUGAAUAUGGGGGGACCAUCCUCCAAGGCUAAAUACUCCUAACUGACCGAUAGUGAACCAGUACCGUGAGGGAAAGGCGAAAAGAACCCCUGUGAGGGGAGUGAAAUAGAACCUGAAACCGUAUACGUACAAGCAGUGGGAGCAGACUUGUUCUGUGACUGCGUACCUUUUGUAUAAUGGGUCAGCGACUUAUAUUUUGUAGCGAGGUUAACCGAAUAGGGGAGCCGUAGUGAAAGCGAGCGUUAACUGCGCGUCUAGUUGCAAGGUAUAGACCCGAAACCCGGUGAUCUAGCCAUGGGCAGGUUGAAGGUUGAGUAACAUCAACUGGAGGACCGAACCCACUGACGUUGAAAAGUCAGGGGAUGACCUGUGGCUGGGGGUGAAAGGCCAAUCAAACCGGGAGAUAGCUGGUUCUCCCCGAAAGCUAUUUAGGUAGCGCCUCGGACGAACACCAUGGGGGGUAGAGCACUGUUAAGGCUAGGGGGUCAUCCCGACUUACCAACCCUUUGCAAACUCCGAAUACCCAUGAGUGCUAUCCGGGAGACACACGGCGGGUGCUAACGUCCGUCGUGAAGAGGGAAACAACCCAGACCGCCAGCUAAGGUCCCAAAAUAUUGCUAAGUGGGAAACGAUGUGGGAAGGCUAAGACAGCUAGGAGGUUGGCUUAGAAGCAGCCACCCUUUAAAGAAAGCGUAAUAGCUCACUAGUCGAGUCGGCCUGCGCGGAAGAUGUAACGGGGCUAAGCAAUAUACCGAAGCUGCGGAUACGUGUUUACACGUAUGGUAGGGGAGCGUUGUGUAAGUGGUUGAAGGUGAGCUGUGAGGCUUGCUGGACAUAUCACAAGUGCGAAUGCUGACAUGAGUAACGAUAAUGCGGGUGAAAAACCCGCACGCCGGAAGACCAAGGUUUCCUGUCCCAUGCUAAUCAGGGCAGGGUAAGUCGGCCCCUAAGGCGAGGCAGAAAUGCGUAGUCGAUGGGAAACGGAUUAAUAUUUCCGUACUUGGUAUAUCAGUGAAGGGGGGACGGAGAAGGCUAAACAAGCUUGGUGUUGGUUAUCCAAGUGAAAGUGUGUAGGGCGUUGAAUUAGGUAAAUCCGGUUCAACACUAACCUGAGACACGAGACGAGUUUCUAAGGAAACGAAGUUGUUGAUGCCAUGCUUCCAGGAAAAGCCUCUAAACUUAUGAUAUAUCGAACCGUACCCCAAACCGACACAGGUGGUCAGGUAGAGAAUACUAAGGCGCUUGAGAGAACUCGGGUGAAGGAACUCGGCAAAAUUGUACCGUAACUUCGGGAGAAGGUACGCUGCUGUUUGUGAUGGGAUUUACUCCCUAAGCGAAUGGCAGCCGCAGUGACCAGGUGGCUGGGACUGUUUAUUAAAAACACAGCACUGUGCUAAAUCGAAAGAUGACGUAUACGGUGUGACACCUGCCCGGUGCCGGAAGGUUAAUUGAUGGGGUUAGCGUAAGCGAAGCUCUUGAUCGAAGCCCCGGUAAACGGCGGCCGUAACAAUAACGGUCCUAAGGUAGCGAAAUUCCUUGUCGGGUAAGUUCCGACCUGCACGAAUGGUGUAACCAUGGCCACGCUGUCUCCACCCGAGACUCAGUGAAAUUGAAAUCGCAGUGAAGAUGCUGUGUACCCGCACCUAGACGGAAAGACCCCGUGAACCUUUACUACAGCUUGGCACUGAACAUUGAACCUACAUGUGUAGGAUAGGUGGGAGGCUUUGAAGCAUAGUCGCUAGAUUGUGUGGAGCCGCCGUUGAAAUACCACCCUUGUAUGUUUGAUGUUCUAACAUUGGUCCCUAAUCGGGAUUGUGGACAGUGUCUGGUGGGUAGUUUGACUGGGGCGGUCUCCUCCCAAAGAGUAACGGAGGAGCACGAAGGUUAGCUAAUCACGGUCGGACAUCGUGAGGUUAGUGCAAUGGCAUAAGCUAGCUUAACUGCGAGACAGACACGUCGAGCAGGUACGAAAGUAGGUCAUAGUGAUCCGGUGGUUCUGUAUGGAAGGGCCAUCGCUCAACGGAUAAAAGGUACUCCGGGGAUAACAGGCUGAUACCGCCCAAGAGUUCAUAUCGACGGCGGUGUUUGGCACCUCGAUGUCGGCUCAUCACAUCCUGGGGCUGAAGUCGGUCCCAAGGGUAUGGCUGUUCGCCAUUUAAAGUGGUACGCGAGCUGGGUUUAGAACGUCGUGAGACAGUUCGGUCCCUAUCUGCCGUGGGUGUAGGAUACUUGAGAGGAGUUGCCCCUAGUACGAGAGGACCGGGGUGAACGAUCCACUGGUGGACCUGUUGUGGCGCCAGCCGCAUUGCAGGGUAGCUAUGUAUGGACGGGAUAACCGCUGAAUGCAUCUAAGCGGGAAACCCACCUCAAAACCAGGUUUCCCUUGAGAGCCGUUCUAGACUAGGACGUCGAUAGGCCAGGUGUGGAAGCGCUGCGAAGCGUG
rnacentral:rRNA from 1 species